rnacentral:lncRNA from 1 species
AAAGCCAAAACAUGUUAUACAAGAGCAUUUACAGAAAGAAUACAAAUAAUAUACUACUCUAUGCCCUUCUUGAGAAAAUUUACAAUGUUAUUUCAAUCCACACCUUGCUCACCUAUCAUUUUUGGUAUCAACAAACUUAUAUACCAUGUUUCCUUCAUUUAACUUUGGGUGAGUGCACCAACAUUAUGACUUCAAAUGCACGAAAUAAAUCCAUCUUGAGACAAGUUUGACAAAAGUUUUUCAGUGGACUCCUCUCUCAUUCCUAGCAAGACUGAAGCUCAAAAAAUCAUGGAACCUGUUCUUCUUUGAACCGUAGCAGUGCUAUAGGUUGCUGUUCAUUGUUCGAGAAGCCUAUUCUUCUAGUUGCAUCCUGUUUAUCAACUACGGGGUUGUGUGGCCUCAUCUGUGACACAGAAUUAUUUGCGGUGUUGUGGCUACUGUUCCUAGCUGCAGGCACGUCAUGAUUAUGUUUGCCCUCAUAUGUUGUUAUGACAGAUUUUGGAUCGCUCGGGGCCCUUUCCACAUGUUUCCGUACAUUACAUCCCUGGCUGGUACAUUUGUAAUAGCUUCUGCAGAGAAUAAUAUGGUAUACUGAAUAUGUUAGCAAAGCAAGCAAAAUAACCGAUAAGCAUCUGGCUAUGCAUUCACAGAAGUCAUCUAGAUAUCUGAUUGGCCUGUUUUGUUCUUGCACGUAAAUACAACAUGGUCCAACUGUACCACGCAAAAUUCAGACUGAGUUUCAAACAAAGAGUUCUAAUAUGAUCAUGGGAAAAAAAAAUGUGUUCAAGCAGAAGAAAGUUUUUUCUGACAGUGGCAGGUGAUUCAGGAAGGUAACUUCACAUUCAUAAUGCGCCAUAAGCAGAUAUAUUCUAUUUAGGGUUCACUUAACCAUAAAUCUACCUUGGAUAAGGGUUUCCUUUUACAACUUUCUGGCCAUACUUCCGCCAUCUAUAACCAUCAUCCAAAAGAUCAACUUCGCUUGUUGUUUGAACAAUGAUCCUAGGUUCUGCAACUGCCCGGUGAGAAGCAGAAGAAGCUGCUUCUGAAGUCUGUACUUCUAUGGCCCUGCAAGGUACAGUUGUAGAGAUGGAGAACAGCAGGUUAUGAAGAUAGUAUGAAAAUAUUCUCUUCAAAUGUUGUGCCAAGGAUGAAGCAGAUUACCUUCGCUUAGAUUCACGUUCAUCAUUUCCAUCAGCUAUAGUCUCAGCAUCACCCACUUCCUCACCCUCACUUGAUCCGGAGACUUGGUCAUGUGUAGCUUGGCUGGAUUCUUGAUCCUUCAUUCUUAAUGAAUAGGAAGGCAUGCUAUCCUUGGAAUUGUUCAGAGUUCCUGCCACACCCUCAGAGCUGAGUUCAGAUGGCCCCUGAAGAUUAUUGUUUCCAUUUGGAUUUCCACUAUCUUUCGAGCGUUUACUAGAUUGAGGCGGCUGAUGGUUGUGCUGGCCCUUAUAGAUAAUCUCGGUUACUUGGCCAUCAAGAGACCGCUCAACCUUCUUCUUGACUGGACAAUUUGGAUGUGUACACUUGUAAUAACUACGAGGAUAUUCACUUCCCUUGACAUGCUUCUGCCCAUACUUGCGCCAGUUGUAGCCAUCAUCAGCAGGUUUAUCAACAGCAGAGGAAGCAGGUUCUGACCUCUGAUCAGACAGAGAGACAUCAGAUGCUUCUUUCAUAACAUUAGGAUCUGAUGCAGGAGGCGGUAUCGGUUUGUUUGCUGUGGCAUUUGAGGUUAGGGACUGGAACUGUGAAAAGGACGGUGCAGGCGCUGCUGAAGAAGUCGGAUAGUCAGGUUGAAUGUGCAUUUGAGACUGAGGAUAUGCUGCCUGAGCUGUAACUUGAGCAAGGGCUUGCUGAUGUGACAUUCCAAAAGGGCCCUUUAUGGUCGAAAAACCAUACGUAAAUAACAUUGAAAAAGCUAAUUCAAUUUAAACCAAUAGCAUCAUCACCGUACAUGUUGCAACAGUUUAUUUACAAAAUUCUUUUCCUGCUGCUGAUUGAGUCAAGAAAGAAAAAGGUUUUUUUUUUGGGUGGUGGUGGGGUGUGCGUGUGUGUGGAAGGGGGGGAGGGGGGGAGGUGUUCGAGAAUUGAAGAGAGAAAGAGGAUAGCUACUCCUCUAACACGUUCGUUCCAACUAAUGAAGUAAUUUAGCCUCAUGAGAUGUACUGUCAGAAGAUAUAGUAUAUUAUGCACCAACAAAAAGAAGAUAUCGAAUCUCAUAUCACAUAUUAUCUCAAACUUCAGUAUCAAUAGCCUCAACUCACACUACCAGACUUAAAGGAAUGCCUAAAGGGAAUCAGACUGCUGUUCUCCUGUAUUCAAGAAAGUUUCCCCAUACACGAAAUGCAAUAUUCUCUUAAAGCAUAACUCCAACCUAACCAGGGACAUAAGAAUAGGUUUUGACAAUUUACAAUCUGUUGAUUUGUAAAAUUGAUACUACUUGGUUAUAAGAUGUGGAGCAGGAAAAGUAGUGAAAAUCUUAAGUUACCAUUACCUAGCAUGUGACAAAGAAAAAUGGUCAAAGGUAACACAACAAAAGAAAAAUGGCAUGCCAACAUUGCAAGUGUAAACUCAUAGUUUGGACUGUAAAGAGGAACACCAGACAUGGUGUUUGACACGGACAUGUUCCACUCUGAGAAACAAGAAAAUGUCCAAAUGACAGUUCCUUACUUCCUUCCCCUCUCUAAAAGUACUGGAAAUGAAACUUCUUCCAUAUUUUAGUACAUUCUGGCUUUUAAACCAACAAAUCUAGGUGUAAAGUUUUUCUCUCUAUCUUCUUUCUCUUCUUUUCUCUCAUACGGAAGUCCGCCUAUGGCUGCUCGCAAGGACCUGCAGCCCUCUAUUGGCGAUCAGGCCUAUCUGCAAAUCCUCUAGACAUAGAACGUGUUCUUGAUACAGUUUUAUUUCUUCUUCAAGGAGAAAUUACUUUUUAAACUUCUUCCCUACAACAGAGAAACAACUUUUACGAAUACUCAAAAGCACACUUAUUCAGGCCAAACACUUGAACUCUCCAAAAUAAGCAACUUUUCUGAAAAAUAAGCACUUAUAUUUUCCUAGAAGCUUGACCAAUCAGGGCUUAAAUACCUCAAAGAAUCUAGAAAACCCCCAUAACCGAAAUUAUGCUGCAACUCUUAAAUCACACAAUCCAGAAACCACGCUAAGGUUAAUAUAUCCACAAAUCAAACAAUCAUUAUGCCUCAAUCGUAAAUAAA